GGGAUCAUAGCUCAGCUGGGAGAGCAUCUGCCUUACAAGCAGAGGAUCAUAGGUUCGAGCCCUAUUGGUCCCA
rnacentral:tRNA from 1 species